GACAGAGGCCUCGAGCGUUAGGCGGAAUUACUGGGCGUAAAGGGCUCGUAGGUGGCCAACUAAGUCAGACGUGAAAUCCCUCGGCUUAACCGGGGAACUGCGUCUGAUACUGGAUGGCUUGAGUUCGGGAGAGGGAUGCGGAAUUCCAGGUGUAGCGGUGAAAUGCGUAGAUAUCUGGAGGAACACCGGUGGCGAAGGCGGCAUCCUGGACCGACACUGACACUGAGGAGCGAAAGGCCAGGGGAGCAAACGGG
rnacentral:rRNA from 1 species